rnacentral:rRNA from 1 species
UACAGAGGGGGCAAGCGUUGUCCGGAUUUACUGGGCGUAAAGGGCGCGUAGGCGGCCUUCUAAGUCAGACGUGAAAUCCCCAGGCUUAACUUGGGAACUGCGUCUGAUACUGGGAGGCUUGAGUGCGGGAGAGGGAUGUGGAAUUCCAGGUGUAGCGGUGAAAUGCGUAGAUAUCUGGAGGAACACCGGUGGCGAAGGCGGCAUCCUGGACCGACACUGACGCUGAGGCGCGAAAGCCAGGGGAGCAAACGGG